rnacentral:tRNA from 1 species
GCAGGUGCGCAGGCAGCGGCUACUUCUCCUGUCAAGAGAGUGACGCGGGUUCGAAUCCCGCCGCCGGCG